rnacentral:rRNA from 1 species
UUUAACUGAGCGUUCAGUUACUUGACGUAGACCCGAAACCGGGCGACCUACCCAUGAGCAGGAUGAAGCGAAAGUAAAAUUUCGUGGAGGUCCGAACCCACGAGCGUUGAAAAGCUCGGGGAUGACUUGUGGGUAGCGGUGAAAUUCCAAUCGAGCCCGGAGAUAGCUGGUUCUCCCCGAAAUAGCUUUAGGGCUAGCCUCAAGGUGAGAGAUACGGAGGUAGAGCACUGAAUGUCCUAGGGGGUAUUGCACCUACCGAAGACUAUCAAACUCCGAAUGCCGUCAUCUUAUACUUGGGAGUCAGACUGUGGGUGAUAAGAUUCAUAGUCGAAAGGGCAACAGCCCAGAUCGUCAGCUAAGGUCCCUAAAUGUAAGUUAAGUGGUAAAGGAUGUGGGAUUGCACAGACAACCAGGAUGUUGGCUUAGAAGCAGCCACUCAUUCAAAGAGUGCGUAAUAGCUCACUGGUCGAGUGAUCCUGCGCCGAAGAUUUCCGGGGCUAAAACUUACUACCGAAGCUACGGCAUCAGUAAUGAUGGGUAGGGGAGCUUCCCAUACGGGUUGAAGCAUGACCGUAAGGACAUGUGGACAGUAUGGGAGUGAGAAUGUUGGCAUGAGUAGCGAGAUGUGGGUGAGAAUCCCACAGGCCGUAAACCCAAGGUUUCCAGGGGAAGGUUCGUCCACCCUGGGUUAGUCGGGACCUAAGCUGAGGCCGAAAGGCGUAGGUGAUGGACAACAGGUUGAUAUUCCUGUACUACCGAUAACCGUUUGAGAGAAGGGAUGACACAGUAGGAUAAGCUAAGCACACUGUUGGUUAUGUGUGCCCAAGCAUUGAGGCAGUCAAAGUAGGCAAAUACGCUUUGAUAAUGCUGGGAUGUGAUGGGGAGCGAAAUUUAGUAGCGAAGUAGCUGAUUUCACACUGUCAAGAAAAGUCUCUAUCGAGGUUAAAGGUACCCGUACCGCAAACCGACACAGGUGGGUGAGGAGAGUAUCCUAAGGCCAGCGAGAGAACUGUUGUUAAGGAACUCGGCAAAAUGACCCCGUAACUUAGGGAUAAGGGGUGCCACCAUCAGGUGGCCGCAGAGAAUAGGCCCAAGCGACUGUUUACCAAAAACAUAGGUUUCUGCUAAGUCGCAAGACGAUGUAUAGGAGCUGACGCCUGCCCGGUGCUGGAAGGUUAAGGGGAUCUGUUAGAGCAAUCGAAGCAGUGAACUUAAGCCCCAGUAAACGGCGGCCGUAACUAUAACGGUCCUAAGGUAGCGAAAUUCCUUGUCGGGUAAGUUCCGACCCGCACGAAAGGCGUAACGAUUUGGGCACUGUCUCAACAACAGACUCGGUGAAAUUGUAAUUCCGGUGAAGAUGCCGGAUACCUGCGACAGGACGGAAAGACCCCAUGGAGCUUUACUGUAGCUUGACAUUGGGUCUUGGUACUACAUGUACAGGAUAGGUGGGAGGCUUUGAAACCAGGACGCCAGUUUUGGCGGAGCCAUCCUUGGGAUACCACCCUUGUA